rnacentral:rRNA from 1 species
UACGUAGGGUGCAAGCGUUAAUCGGAAUUACUGGGCGUAAAGCGUGCGCAGGCGGUUCGCUAAGACAGAUAUGAAAUCCCCGGGCUUAACCUGGGAACUGCAUUUGUGACUGGCGGGCUAGAGUAUGGCAGAGGGGGGUAGAAUUCCACGUGUAGCAGUGAAAUGCGUAGAGAUGUGGAGGAACACCGAUGGCGAAGGCAGCCCCCUGGGCCAACACUGACGCUCAGGCACGAAAGCGUGGGGAGCAAACAGG